rnacentral:rRNA from 1 species
AACGAACGCUGGCGGCAUGCCUAACACAUGCAAGUCGAACGAGACCUUCGGGUCUUGUGUCGCACGGGUGCGUAACGCGUGGGAACCUUCCCUUAUGUUCGGCAUAACUCCCCGAAAGGGGUGCUAAUACCGGAUCAUGUCUUCUGACCAAAGAUUUAUCGCCUUUGGAUGGUCCCGCGUUGGAUUAGCUAGUUGGUAGGGUAAAAGCCUACCAAGGCGAGGAUCCAUAGCUGGUCUGAGAGGAAGAUCAGCCACACUGAGACUGGGACACGGCCCAGACUCCUACGGGAGGGAGCAGUGGGGAAUAUUGGACAAUGGGCGGAAGCAUGAUGCAGCAAUGACGCGUGAGUGAUGAAAGCAUUAAGGUUGUAAAGCUCUUUUAACCGGGAUGAUAAUGACAGUACCGGGAGAAUAAGCUCCGGCUAACUCCGUG